rnacentral:sRNA from 1 species
GUGGAGGGAGGGACAGAGCCUGGACAGCGGUGGACACGGCAUCGUGCGCGGGGAAGAGGGCAGCACGCAGCAGGCGCCGAGCGCCGGGCACCGAGAAGGGCAGCCCGGGUGGUCUCCGGCCGUCCAUGCACAGAGCGCCUUCCCCCACAGCCGAGCAGCCGCCGGGCGGAGGGGACAGCGCCCGCCGGACCCUGCAGCCCAGACUCAAGGAGGGGACGACGUGCAGCAGCUGUGUGAGGCGGGUGAGGAGGAGUUUCUGGAGAUCAUGGCACUUGUGGGCAUGGCCACCAAGCCCCUCCAUGUCCGGCGCCUGCAGAAGGCACUGAGAGAGUGGGCCACCAAUCCAGGGCUCUUCAGUCAACCAGUGCCUGCUGUUCCCGUCUCCAGCAUCCCGCUCUUCAAGAUCUCUGAGACUGCGGGUACCCGGAAAGGGAGCAUGAGCAAUGGGCAUGGCAGCCCAGGGGAAAAGGCAGGCAGUGCCCGCAGUUUUAGCCCCAAGAGCCCCCUUGAACUUGGAGAGAAGCUAUCACCACUGCCUGGGGGACCUGGGGCAGGGGACCCCCGGAUCUGGCCAGGCCGGAGCACUCCAGAGUCGGACGUUGGGGCAGGAGGAGAAGAGGAGGCUGGCUCGCCACCCUUCUCCCCCCCUGCAGGGGGAGGAGUCCCUGAGGGGACUGGGGCUGGGGGGCUGGCAGCAGGUGGGACUGGGGGUGGUCCAGACCGACUGGAGCCAGAGAUGGUACGCAUGGUGGUGGAAAGUGUGGAGAGGAUCUUCCGGAGCUUCCCAAGGG